GCUAAUACCGGAUAAUAUUUCGAACCGCAUGGUUCGAUAGUGAAAGAUGGUUUUGUCUAUCACUUAUAGAUGGACCCGCGCCGUAUUAGCUAGUUGGUAAGGUAACGGCUUACCAAGGCGACGAUACGUAGCCGACCUGAGAGGGUGAUCGGCCACACUGGAACUGAGACACGGUCCAGACUCCUACGGGAGGCAGCAGCU
rnacentral:rRNA from 1 species